UUUGAAUCGUUACAAUAGCUUAACAUUAGAUUUCAUUGUUACAGAACUUUCUAUUAGCAUACAAUAGAUUAACAUUAGAUUUCACUGUUUUGGUCAAAUUUCACUAUUUUUAGGAAUUUUCCCUAAUUAUCAACCUUAUAAAUAAUAUUCUGAACAUCAAAAACAGGCGGGUAUCCUGGCGGGUAUUGUGAUAUAUAUGAUGUUUGUUAGUACCAAUUUUUUUUUGUUUUCGCUCGAAAAUGAGUAAUUGUGCACAUUUUUGUGUAACAUAUUUUUGGCGUGUAUAAUUCCAAAAACCAAAACAACGCUGACGGGCGUCGUGAGUUUUUUCUAGUGCCUAUUUAUUCAUAAAUAUUGAAGUAAAUAUUUCAACGCUGUUCGAUUUUUACAAAAAUACUAAACACAGGUAGGAUCGAGGAAACAGAACGAUUGCCACCGUCACAGCCAGGAGCAGCAGCAGCAGAGCAUCUCGGCUUCAGAAAAACUAGCUCCCGCAGCUGAUCCGUUUCCUGCAGACUGAUCGCACCAACACAACAUUUUGAAGCACCCGACUGAAAUGCCACAGAAGCCUCGGACAUUGAUGGACACCAGAGGGAGAUUCGACCGAGAAGCUGCAUACGGUGCCGGGGAAAGUGAAGCCCUGCAGGAGGACGUCAUUUCAGACUGGAACAUCUAUUUGGAUUUGCUGAUAAAUGCUCGGAGGAAUAUUGUGCGGCACCACCAGGCAAUGUUCGGAUGAUGGAAAAUUCCAGCGGCAAGUAUGGCAAGAGGGAUGGCAAAAUGAUUUACAUACCUAUUAACGAAAGACAGACUACAGACCGUCUUCAGCCAGAUGCUGACAAACUAACCUUAACUUACACUAGCGAACGGACAACGUAUGGUUUUUGUUCUAGUAAUAUUUAAUGGAUUCUGCGCCUUUGGUGGACAUCCUACCAAAUCAACUGAUUCCAGGCAACUUCAACCGGGGGAAUAUUAAUUACAGCAGUUUAGAGUAAACGGGUUAUUCAGUGGUCACAAAAAUAGGAUUUGACAAAUGUAGGUAUACUCUCAAAAGGUUCCGCUAUAGGCACUUUCAGGAGGGUCUACUAUAGGCAGUCAGCAGUGAGGCAGAUAACAUAGACAUCAAAUGGGGAAUCCACUAUAGGCGCCAAUAUAUUUGUAAACCCGAUGAUGUCCAUUGCCCUGCCGUUCUGUGCAUAAUUGUCCCAUGUUAUAUGGGAUUCCUAUAAAACAUGGGAGAAGUGGGCGUAGAAUGGCAGUACAGGCAACGUCGAUGUAGGGUGACAAUGGGUAUUAUCGGCAGGUUUGUUCUCUUCGUCAUGGGGGGUUUUUGUCAGCCAAAUUGCCUGAAACUUGGCCAUAUAAUUCAGCUUAGUUGGGAAGGAUUUGAGUCUAACUCUGAGUUCAAUAGGUUUCAAAAAACCCCCAAAGACGAAGAGAACAAAUCGGCCGAGAAUAGGUAAUUUCCCCUAUAUUGAUAUUUUCAAAUGCGUAUUUUACUGGAAUAAUUAAUUAAUGUAUGUUUUCCAUUAAGGUAACUUUGCUGAAACGCCGCAGAAGUAAACUUCGGUAGCGUAGAAAGUCUCGUAGCGUAGAAAGUCGGUAGCGUAGACCCUAUAAGACACCCAGUAGCCCAAUGAAGAAUGUUUCGUUUGACAAAAAGCUCUAACUGGUGUUGUAAUCGAACCAACAUUCCAUGGCUAAUAAAAAGCCUAAACAUCUGGCACCGCUCA